rnacentral:misc_RNA from 1 species
GAUGAAGAACGUAGCGAAAUGCGAUAAGUAGUGUGAAUUGCAGAAUUCAGUGAAUCAUCGAAUCUUUGAACGCACAUUGCGCCCCUUGGUAUUCCAUGGGGCAUGCCUGUUCGAGCGUCAUUUGUACCUUCAACCUCUGCUUGGUGUUGGGUGUUUGUCUCGCCUCUGCGUGUAGACUCGCCUCAAAACAAUUGGCAGCCGGCGUAUUGAUUUCGGAGCGCAGUACAUCUCGCGCUUUGCACUCAUAACGACGACGUCCAAAAGUACAUUUUUACACUCUUGACCUCGGAUCAGGUAGGGAUACCCGCUGAACUUAAGCAUAUCAAUAAGCGGAGGA